rnacentral:rRNA from 1 species
GAUGAACGCUGGCGGCGUGCCUAAUACAUGCAAGUCGAGCGAAUGGAUUAAGAGCUUGCUCUUAUGAAGUUAGCGGCGGACGGGUGAGUAACACGUGGGUAACCUGCCCAUAAGACUGGGAUAACUCCGGGAAACCGGGGCUAAUACCGGAUAAUAUUUUGAACUGCAUGGUUCAAAAUUGAAAGGCGGCUUCGGCUGUCACUUAUGGAUGGACCCGCGUCGCAUUAGCGAGUUGGUGAGGUAACGGCUCACCAAGGCAACGAUGCGUAGCCGACCUGAGAGGGUGAUCGGCCACACUGGGACUGAGACACGGCCCAGACUCCUACGGGAGGCAGCAGUAGGGAAUCUUCCGCAAUGGACGAAAGUCUGACGGAGCAACGCCGCGUGAGUGAUGAAGACUUUCGGGUCGUAAAACUCUGUUGUUAGGGAAGAACAAGUGCUAGUUGAAUAAGCUGGCACCUUGACGGUACCUAACCAGAAAGCCACGGCUAACUACGUGCCAGCCGCCGCGGUAA